rnacentral:rRNA from 1 species
CCGCGUGAGUGAAGAAGGCCUUCGGGUCGUAAAGCUCUUUAGGUUGGGAAGAAGGUUACGAGUGGAUAAAGCUAGUAACUUGACGGUACCGACAGAAUAAGCACCGGCAAACUCUGUGCCAGCAGCCGCGGUAAUACAGAGGGUGCGAGCGUUAAUCGGAAUUACUGGGCGUAAAGGGCGCGUAGGCGGUGAGAUGUGUGUGGUGUGAAAGCCCUGGGCUUAACCUGGGAAGUGCACCGCAAACUAUCUGACUGGAGUAUAUGAGAGGGUGGCGGAAUUUCCGGUGUAGCGGUGAAAUGCGUAGAGAUCGGAAGGAACGUCAAUGGCGAAGGCAGCCACCUGGCAUAAUACUGACGCUGAGGCGCGAAAGCGUGGGGAGCGAACAGGAUUAGAUACCCUGGUAGUCCACGCUGUAAACGAUGAGGACUAGAUGUUGGUAGGGGAACCUAUCAGUAUCGAAGCUAACGCGAUAAGUCUUCCGCCUGGGAAGUACGGCCGCAAGGUUG